UAAACUGAUUGGGGAAUGGCUUUAACGAA
rnacentral:sRNA from 1 species